UACGAAGGGGGCUAGCGUUGUUCGGAAUUACUGGGCGUAAAGCGCACGUAGGCGGAUCGAUCAGUCAGGGGUGAAAUCCCAGGGCUCAACCCUGGAACUGCCUUUGAUACUGUCGAUCUGGAGUAUGGAAGAGGUGGAGUGGAAUUCCGAGUGUAGAGGUGAAAAUUCGUAGAUAUUCGGAGGAACACCAGUGGCGAAGGGCGGACUCACUGGCUCGGGUACUGACGCUGAGGUGCGAAAGCG
rnacentral:rRNA from 1 species